AGUUCUGUCCCUCAUCCCACCCAGGGGAGUGAGUGAAGCUCUGCGGGGUCUUGGCUGCUGGUUGGUGUUAAACCAUGAGAGCAGAGCAGCUCCAAGCACAGGACAUUAGACAGAUCCUCUUUAAAGUAUCAAUGGAUGGAUGAAAGCUUGAUGUGAAAUGAAGGGGACCUGAACAGGUAAUAGAACUCUCAAUGUUCUGCAAAGGAGUAAUUUUCACUGGGAGAAAGUUUGGCCUAAGUCAUGAUGUUUGGCUCUGCAAAUUUCCACUAGCAAAGACGGACAAGCCAUGGGAGAGAAGAGUGGAUGGAAAUGUGAGGGAAAUGAAAAGAGAGGAAAGUGUGUGGAUUAGGGCUGGCUGGGGGGAGCUAUGACUAUAAAAUUAAAAUUAGAAUUAAUUGAUAAGAAAAUUUCAGCUUGUAUUAGAGAUGUUUUAUUUCAGUUUUGUUUUCUGUCAAGUUUCCAUUGUACAAAUUGUCAUUUCAGCAAGAAGCACAAAGAUGGGGUGAGACCCAAAGCCUAGCCUGUGAAGAGCUGCAGAGGGGGUAGGAAAAUUAAUACCUAUUUAAACCUUUUUCUUCAACUUGUACCUUAGCUGUUACAACAACCUAAUACAGUCAC
rnacentral:lncRNA from 1 species